UGGGGGAUAUUGCACAAUGGACGAAAGUCUGAUGCAGCGACGUCGUGUGGGGGAUGAAGGCCUUCGGGUUGUAAACUCCUUUCGCCCGCGGAAAAGGCAGGGUUUUGGCCUUGUUGAUGGUAGUGGGUAAAGAAGCGCCGGCUAACUACGUGCCAGCAGCCGCGGUAAUACGUAGGGCGCGAGCGUUGUCCGGAAUUAUUGGGCGUAAAGGGCUCGUAGGCGGUUUGUCGCGUCUAGCGUUUAAGGCUCGGGCUUAACCCGGGUUUGCGUUGGGUACGGGCAGGCUUGAGUGCGGUAGGGGUAACUGGAAUUCCUGGUGUAGCGGUGGAAUGCGCAGAUAUCAGGAGGAACACCGGUGGCGAAGGCGGGUUACUGGGCCGUUACUAACGCUGAGGAGCGAGAGCGUGGGGAGCGAACAGG
rnacentral:rRNA from 1 species